rnacentral:rRNA from 1 species
GUGGGGAAUAUUGGACAAUGGGCGAAAGCCUGAUCCAGCCAUGCCGCGUGUGUGAAGAAGGUCUUCGGAUUGUAAAGCACUUUAAGUUGGGAGGAAGGGUAGUAACCUAAUACGUUGCUACUUUGACGUUACCGACAGAAUAAGCACCGGCUAACUUCGUGCCAGCAGCCGCGGUAAUACGAAGGGUGCAAGCGUUAAUCGGAAUUACUGGGCGUAAAGCGCGCGUAGGUGGUUCAGUAAGUUGGAAGUGAAAUCCCCGGGCUCAACCUGGGAACUGCAUCCAAAACUUGCGAGCUAGAGUACGGUAGAGGGUGGUGGAAUUUCCUGUGUAGCGGUGAAACGCGUAGAUAUAGGAAGGAACACCAGUGGCGAAGGCGACCACCUGGACUGAUACUGACACUGAGGUGCGAAAGCGUGGGGAGCAAACAGGAUUAGAAACCCCAGUAGUCC